rnacentral:lncRNA from 1 species
GAAAAAGGGGAUAUGUCUAUUAACAGCCAAGUGGUAUAAGAUGAUUCAUACACUUUUAUACUCAAAACAACUCUAAAUUGCAUAAUAACAUUCAAACCAACUGUAUAUUGAAUAUCUGAGAAUAAUAGUUACAUGAAACCAACUGUGAAUACGAACUUACUAUGACUUACUGUGACAUAUUACACAUUAAAACUGACUUUAUGAAAAAUUACAAACUCUAACAAACUAUAGAAAACUUACAUAAGAGAUAAACAGAAAAACAG